rnacentral:ncRNA from 2 species
GGUCUCUUGUCGGAGUGCCUAGCGCGCGCUUUUUUAUAAAGCAACGCGCAGGCUGAGACCGUUAAUUCGGGAUCCGCGGAACCUGAUCGGGUUAGUACCCGCGAAGGGAACAAGAGUAAUUUAUCG